ensembl:piRNA 21ur-1180 ncRNA
UGCUUGGACAAUUUAGCUGUU